rnacentral:rRNA from 1 species
AACGAACGCUGGCGGCGUGCCUAACACAUGCAAGUCGAACGGAAUGAGGGGGCUUGCUCCUUCAUUUAGUGGCGCACGGGUGAGUAACGCGUAGAUAAUCUGCCUGACGAUCCGGGAUAACACUUCGAAAGAGGUGCUAAUACCGGAUAAGCCCACGGGUACUUUGGUAUCUGCGGGAAAAGGGGGGGACCUUUUGGCCUUCUGUCGUCAGAUGAGUCUGCGUACCAUUAGCUAGUUGGUAGGGUAAAAGCCUACCAAGGCGACGAUGGUUAGGUGGUCUGCGAGGAUGAUCAGCCACACUGGAACUGAGACACGGUCCAGACUCCUACGGGAGGCAGCAGUGGGGAAUUUUGCGCAAUGGGCGAAAGCCUGACGCAGCAACGCCGCGUGAGUGAUGAAGGCUUUCGGGUCGUAAAGCUCUGUCAAUGGGAAAGAAGUGUAUUGGAGCUAAUAUCUCCGAUACUUGACGGUACCCAUAAAGGAAGCACCGGCUAACUCCGUGCCAGCAGCCGCAGUAAGAC